AGUGAACGCUGGCGGUAGGCCUAACACAUGCAAGUCGAACGGCAGCACAGUAAGAGCUUGCUCUUACGGGUGGCGAGUGGCGGACGGGUGAGGAAUACAUCGGAAUCUACUUUUUCGUGGGGGAUAACGUAGGGAAACUUACGCUAAUACCGCAUACGACCUACGGGUGAAAGCAGGGGAUCUUCGGACCUUGCGCGAUUGAAUGAGCCGAUGUCGGUUUAGCUAGUUGGCGGGGUAAAGGCCCACCAAGGCGACGAUCCGUAGCUGGUCUGAGAGGAUGAUCAGCCACACUGGAACUGAGACACGGUCCAGACUCCUACGGGAGGCAGCAGUGGGGAAUAUUGGACAAUGGGCGCAAGCCUGAUCUAGCCAUACCGCGUGGGUGAAGAAGGCCUUCGGGUUGUAAAGCCCUUUUGUUGGGAAAGAAAAGCAGCAGGUUAAUACCCCGCUGUUCUGACGGUACCCAAAGAAUAAGCACCGGCUAACUUCGUG
rnacentral:rRNA from 1 species